GACGACGCUGGCGGCGUGGAUUAGGCAUGCAAGUCGAACGGUAUCAUCCUUUCGGGGGUGAGAGAGUGGCGAACUGGUGAGUAACACGUAGGUUAUCUACCCUCAAGACGGGGACAACCCAGGGAAACUUGGGCUAAUACCGGAUGUGAGCAACUUUUAGUUGUUUGAAAGGUGGCGUAAGCUGUCGCUUGGGGAUGAGCCUGCGUCCUAUUAGUUAGUUGGUGAGGUAACGGCUCACCUAGGCAAUGAUAGGUAGGCGGCCUUAACGGGUGGUCGCCCACACUGGGAUUGAGAUACGGCCCAGACUCCUACGGGAGGCAGCAGUCGAGAAUAGUCUACAAUGGUCGGAAGAUUGAUAGUGCGACGCCGCGUGAACGAUGAAUCCCUUCGGGGUGUAAAGUUCUUUUAUAUGUGAGCAGUGCUUCUUAUAUUAACAGUAUGGGGAGAGAGAUAUUAGCAUAUGAAUAAGCAACGGCUAACUCCGUG
rnacentral:rRNA from 1 species